GCCAGGCGCACCAGUGCAUGCCUGUAAUCCCAGUGGCUCAGGAGGCUGAGGCAGGAGGAUCACGAGUUCAAAGCCAGCUUCAGCAAAAGUGAGGUGCUAAACAACUCAGUGAUACCCUGUCUCUA
rnacentral:sRNA from 1 species